rnacentral:lncRNA from 1 species
CCGGGAUUUUGUCGCGUACUUUCUCAGCCAUUCCUGCCUUCCUGCCUCAGAGGGCUGAGUGAUCACCUCAGCUGAGUUGGGGGAUCCUUCCUUCUAUCCUUUGCUUUCACUCCAGAGAAAGAAGAGGACGAAAAGAAGUUUUCAAAGACAAUCCCUUUCCAAAUCCUAAAGAAGAUAAUUAACAUUGGGACACAUGGAAUCUGCUAAGCACUGAACUGGCCAGCUUCCACGAAUUAUCUGAUAAGCAUCUUUUGAGAGCCACUUUUCCAUCCCAGAUACUUGGACAAGAUAAUAGAAAAAGGCAUGAUGAACAACAAGAUCUACUACCUUGCCUUCUGGUAUUUACAAGUCUAAGGGGGUUAACAUUAACUAGGAAUUUUUAGACAAUCAUAUGGUAGUAGACAGUUCAAAUAAAUUAUUUACUAAUAUUUUAAAAAUCCGGCACAAGAGGAGACUUCCGGACUGCCGUACCUCACCCCACAAGCUCAGAGAAGGUGAGUCGCGCAGGUGCCAAGAGCACCCCCCUCCCUCCUUUGAAAUGAGAAGACACGUAAGCAAGUUUCAAAACCAGUCUUCGAGAUCACCUAAAACCCCAAAAGGAAACGAGAUGGAACACUGUGAUACUCAACCCCCUGGACACCCUGAACUGCAACAAAAGAGGAUCUGGGAAAAAUGAAAUCAGAAAUAAUUUCUCAGAUAACAACAGAGAUUGUGCCCAUAGGGCAAGACAUGAUUAAUAAAUCUAGAGAG